UACGUAGGGAGCAAGCGUUGUUCGGAUUUACUGGGCGUAAAGGGCGCGUAGGCGGCAGAUUAAGUCAGCUGUGAAAUCUCCGAGCUUAACUCGGAACUGUCAGCUGAUACUGUUUUGCUAGAGUGCGGAAGGGGCAAUCGGAAUUCUUGGUGUAGCGGUGAAAUGCGUAGAUAUCAAGAGGAACACCUGAGGUGAAGACGGGUUGCUGGGCUGAUACUGACGCUGAGGCGCGAAAGCUAGGGUAGCAAACGGG
rnacentral:rRNA from 1 species